rnacentral:rRNA from 1 species
UACAGAGGGUGCGAGCGUUAAUCGGAAUUACUGGGCGUAAAGCGCGCGUAGGCGGCUUUGCAAGUCGGGUGUGAAAUCCCCAGGCUUAACCUGGGAACUGCAUUCGAGACUGCAUUGCUAGAGUAUGGGAGAGGGAAGUGGAAUUUCCGGUGUAGCGGUGAAAUGCGUAGAUAUCGAGAGGAACACCUGCGGCGAAGGCGGGUUGCUGGGCUGACCCUGACGCUGAAGCGCGAAAGCUAGGGGAGCGAACGGG